GACCCCUACCAGCCCCAAGCCAGAUCUCCACCCAUCGCGCCGGAGCCAUGGCGUUUGACGCCUUCAAGGCCCGACGGAUGGGGCCGCCUCGCGGUCGGCUGGCCCUCCUCCUCCUCCUCGCGCUGUCGGCGGUGCUCGCCCCCGGCCGCGCGGCCGCCACCGGCGUCUUCGAGGUGCGCCGCAAGUUCCUGCGCCACGACGGGAGCGGCCAGCACUUGGCGAACCUCCGGGCGCACGACGCUCGCCGCCACGGCCGCUCCCUCAGCGCCUGCAAGGUGGAGCCCGGAUUGGCGGCGGGGGCUGACGGUGGCGCGUUCGGCCAGGGCCAGAUGUCGGUGAUGCCGGCGUCGAGGAAGAAGCGGGUGGAGGGCAUGCCGUCCAAGAAUCUAAUGGCCGAGCGCCGCCGCCGGAAGCGCCUCAACGACCGCCUCUCCAUGCUCCGCUCCAUCGUGCCCAAGAUCAGCAAGAUGGACAGGACGUCGAUCCUGGGGGACACCAUCAACUACAUGAAGGAGCUUCUGGAGAGGAUCCGGCGGCUGCAGGAGGAGAUGGACGGACCGGAGGCGGCGGCGGCGGCGCCGCCGCUGCUCAGCGUGUUCCGGGAGGUCAACCCCAACGAAAUGCUCGCAAGGAACACCCCCAAGUUCGAGGUGGAGCGCAAGGAGGGGGAGGAGGGCGACACCCGGGUGGAGAUCUACUGCGUGGCCAAGCCGGGGCUGCUGCUGUCGAUGGUGAGCACCCUGAACACGCUCGGCCUCGACAUCCAGAAGUGCGUUGUCAGCUGCUUCAACGACUUCACCAUGCACGCAUCCUGCUCCGAGAUGCAGAGGGAGAUGAUGAGCGCGGACGCCAUCAAGCAGGAACUGUUCAAGAACGCCGGCUACGGAGGCGGCUGCUUGUAGAGAGACGAGCAAGAAGUAGCACCAUGACCAUCACCACCAUGAGUCCAUGACCAGCAGGAGAAGCACGAAGGAUAAUAAAGUAGAAGUAGAUGUAGCUGUAGCAGGAGCAGUGAGUAGAAUUAGCACUUAGCAGCUGGUAGCAGCAGUGGCGAAAAAGGCUCAUGAUUUCUGAAAUUCCGUUUGUGGCAGGUUGGAUGUAGGUGAAGGAAAAGAUAUUAAUCUUGAGGACCACUGCCCAAGAUGGAAGCUGCUGCAGCAAUGCAUCAGGUAUCUUGGCCCUAGAGAGAGGGAGUUCUAUGAGGUAACAAUCGAGAAUAAGAUGAUGAUGUACAGGCUGUGCCGCAAGAUUGUCAACACGUCCGAGGGGCCCAAGGAUGCAAAAUGGAUCUUUGUGCUGAGCACAACGAAAAUUCUGUACAUAGGCUCGAAAAGCAAAGGGACAUUUCAGCACUCCAGCUUCCUUGCCGGUGGAGCCACAUCUGCUGCCGGGAGAUUAGUCAUCGCGAACGGGAUCCUAAAGGCUGUCUGGCCUCAUAGCGGGCACUACCGGCCCACGGAGGCCAACUUCCGGGAGUUCAUGAAAUAUCUCAGGAAGAGGAACGUCGAUCUCACGGAUGUGAAGGUUCACAUGAUGGCCAUACUUCCAUAGACAUGACAUGUUCUGAUUUUUUUUAUCUUCUCCAAUGCUCAGGGUACUCCAUCUUAUGCACAGUUUAUGUAUGGGGAUGCUGACUCCAAGUUCGCGCCAUCAGUAAAAGGAGUUGCAGCCACUGCUCAUACAGCAUGUUACUAUGUUACCUUUUAAAUCUCCCCCCACAGAACUGAUAGUUGUAGUUACAUUUGCUAAAAUCUGAAGCAUGUGGCCUUUUCGAAUAUGCAUCUUUUUUUUAUUCCUAUUUUUUAUUUGUUGGAGGACAACAUGUAUGUACUCAUAUUUUUGGUUCAUCUUUUUUUUAUGUAUUAAUCAUUUGCACGGCACAUGAUGCCUAAUAAUAAGAAAAUAGAUGUGUAUUGAUCA